rnacentral:rRNA from 1 species
ACGCUCGACACCUACGGGAGGCAGCAGUGGGGAAUAUUGCGCAAUGGGGGAAACCCUGAUGCAGCGACGCCGCGUGGAGGAAGAAGGUCUUCGGAUUGUAAACUCCUGUUGUUGGGGAAAAAGAGGAUGGUACCCAACAAGGAAGUGACGGCUAACUACGUGCUAGCAGCGGUAAUCUGAGCGGGCUGGCAAGGC